AUAUCUAUAAAUUCGCCUAUUGAAACAAACGGAUUUCGUACCAUCACCGUAUGUUAAGCAAUGUCGGGACCGGUCAGUACUUGGGAGGGUGACCACCUGGGAACACCGGUGCUGUAGGUU